rnacentral:rRNA from 1 species
UGGGGAAUAUUGGACAAUGGGCGAAAGCCUGAUCCAGCCAUGCCGCGUGAGUGACGAAGGCCUUAGGGUUGUAAAACUCUUUCGUCGGGGACGAUAAUGACGGUACCCGAAGAAGAAGCUCCGGCUAACUUCGUGCCAGCAGCCGCGGUAAUACAGAGGGGGCAAGCGUUGUUCGGAAUUACUGGGCGUAAAGCGCGCGUAGGCGGUCGUAUAAGUCGGAUGUGAAAGCCCUUGGCUCAACCAAGGAACUGCGUCCGAUACUGUACGGCUUGAGGCUGGUAGGGGGUAGCGGAAUUCCCGGUGUAGCGGUGGAAUGCGUAGAUAUCGGGAGGAACACCGAUGGCGAAAGCGGCUACCUGGGCCAGAUCUGACGCUGAGGCGCGAAAGCUAGGGGAGCAAACAGGAUUAGAUACCCCCGUAGUCCCUGAGCGGGCUGGCAAGGCGCAU